GUACAGGGUGCACAUAGUUUUUGUUCCUCAGUUUGUACUGAACUAUUGCUCUGUGGAAUAUGACCAUUAAAAAAUUUCAAAUUGAAUAUGACGCCAUCAACAAUAAGAACAUCUUUACAAAUGGAGAUACCAUCAAUGGAAGGAUCAUCGUGGAGACUUCUAAAGAAACCAGAGUCCAGUCGCUUAUGUUUAUAGCGAAAGGAAAAGCUCGGGUGUGUUGGCAUGAACAACACGGGGAAUACAACCAUCACUACUACUGGGCUGAUGAGAAAUAUUACAGUGUCAAACAUCAUAUUAUAAGAGAAUCAAGACAAGAUGGCACUGAAAUAAUUAGAAAAGGAAGGCAUGUGUUUCCGUUUACCUUCACAAUUUCAGACAGAAAAAUGCCAUCAACUUUCCAAACAUCCAUCGGCCGUAUUGUUCACAAGUUGAAGGCAGAGCUUAAACAAUCCAUGAAGCUGACAAAAAAAGUUAAAGCCCACUUCACCUUUGAAUCCAAAGCAGACAAAGAUAUACCAGGACUCAUGGAACCUCAACAUCAGUGCAAGGAUAAAAACCUUGCUUUUGGCUCUGGAGAUGUCUCAAUGGAUGUCUACAGCAAGAAGCUAGGAUACAAACCAGGUGAAGCCCUCGAAGUCACAGUUAAAAUUAACAAUCGCUCAAGUCGUUCAGUGAAGCCCAAAUUCGAACUUUAUGAAAAGAUUAGUUAUUUUGCUCAGGGUAAAAGGAAACUUCACACACACACCAUCCUUAAAGGCAAAAUGGAUACUGUUUAUGAACACUCUGGCCAAGCAGAUGUCACCAAGAUGAUAACUGUCCCAGAAGUGCCUCCAUCCAUUUUGAACUGUUCCAUCAUCAAACGGGAAUACAGGCUGAAGGUUUAUCUGAACAUCAAAUAUGCUAGAGACCCAUAUGUCAAACUCCCCAUUGUCUUCCUACCUGAGUUUUCAGGAAGUAAACAACCUCCAGUUGUUCCAGGGUUUGGAUUUGAACCAUUUGGAAACCCAAUGCAACCAGCCUGGAGUUCUGCACCACAAACUAUGGGUCCUCCACCUUCCUACGGAGCAUGUGCAAUGUACCCCUCGUCUCCUUCUGGCAUUUACAAGUAAAGUCUGUACAUACUUGCCUUAUUAGAGAUGUUAUCAUUUUUGCAUUGCACACCUAUAAAACUGUGACUUACACACCACAUAAGCCUCUUUGUGGUGAAAAACAAUGUCGGUUGCCUUACCUGCAACUUGACCAUCAUCAAUUUUUUUGAGAUUCAGAUGUAUGUCGGUUGAUGACAAAGUUUUUAGCCAUUGACCACAUAAUCUUUAUUACUCUGCUCCCCCAGUGGGCCAAGAAAAUGAAUCUGAUAUCUUACAACUCCCUCUGUGAGGCAGAAGGUUUAAGGAGCUUUUUUUUACACUACUUGUAUUAAUGUCAAUGUGAUAUAUAUUGUUUUACUUGUAUUCCAUAUAAGUUCUUCUUCAUUGUUUUUGCUUUAAAAACAAGGCUAACUGUGUUUACAUUUUUUAAUCAAAUUUAAUUUAGGAUAUUAUUUAACUGCAAACAUGUGCUGGGUGAUUCUGCAUAUCCAGGACGGCCAAAAUGAAGAGUCACAGUCAGCAGCUGCCAUUGUCUCUUCUAGUCUUGCUCAUAACAUAGAUAGAAUGGUAAGGCUGACUUAUUUCUGGAAAGUGCGCUAAGAGGAAACUGGUCCUUAUCAAGGAACCAGACAGCUCUCUGAUAGAAAGGAGUGGGCGUCAUUAGUUGCUUGUUAAUGAGGCAUAUGUUUGUGUAAAUAAAUAACACACUUGGAAGUGAAAUGUCACCAUGACAAGCUGAGACCAAAUGUGUUUUUGGGUUUUUGAAUUUUAAAAUCUGAAUGUUUCUCUGAUUUGUGAAGGUAUUGGGACACUAGGGAGGGUUCUUUUUGGUGGGAGUGUGGUGACCUGACCUUGAGGGACUGCCCUCCAGUAGCUCCAGCAACAGCCACAGAGGGACAGUACAAUGUAGACCAAGCAGGUGUACUGACUCUGAAUGCUGGAACAUCUUCAGUGCAAAGAUGUUCCUGAAAAAAUUACCAUCCCAAACCAUGACAAAUACAAAACACCUUGUCUGCAUUAAUUCUGGUAGAAAAUAUGUUUUAAAUGAUGUUUUAUCUUUUCAUGAAGCUGCCCGAAUCUGAAUAUUUUCUUGCCAUGUGACGAUUCUAUAAAGUUAAUUUAGUUUACUUACCUGAUGAUGAAGCAGUGAUGACCUUGCAUGUUUAUGCUCUGUGUUACAUGAAUAAGAGAGAAGAAAGUAAAGUUAGGUAUUACAGGGAUGGUGCAGAGUGUGAAUUUAAAAGCAUUAAAUUUAGAUUUUGACAUUGUUGUCAGCGGUAUUCAUUGAAGAAUAGCAAUGACUCUGCACACAUACACUUUAUCUCACCUCACAUUCAUUUAACCUAAUUCAGCCUGCAAGACUGCUGUCUAGAGUUACCUGUGUGAAAGUGACACCUGCAGCCCUGAUCACAUGAUCAUGUGUGACACAGUUACUGGUUCUGGAGAAAUCUACUGCAACAGCAUCCUCAUUCAUCAAGUAAAGGCCUCAUCUCAACACUGCCUUGGAUUGGGUUAGCGAUAGAAUUUUGCUACCAUUAAAGGAGGAUCCUCGUGCUUUUACCAAAACUUUCUGUAAAGCUGUUUGAUGUAGUCUCAUCAUGACUUUAAAGCAUUUCUCUCUGGAGUACGACAAAGUGAAUGAACAAGGCACCUUCUCUCCUGGGGACGUUCUGUCUGGAAAAGUAAUAGUGGUGACCAGCAAGGAAAUUAAAGUACAGUGUUUUUUGGUCAAAGCUAAAGGAAAAGCUAAGGUUAUUUGGACUGAGCAGGACCGACAAACCACAGUGGUGCACAGCAACAAGAAGAAAUACUUCUAUUUUGAGCACAUUAUUCUCCAGGAUAAAAACAAAGGAGAUGGUCAGUAUUGUCUCACUUGUUCUAAAAACUAACAAAAAAAGAACAUACAGCUUCUGAGCUUGUUAUUACUUUGGAGUCUAAAAUCAAAUUGCUUUGAGUGCAUUUAACAUAAAAACUUUUAUUUAUAAGGGUCAGAAAUCAUGGGCCCUGGAAGAAAUGUGUAUCCGUUCAGCUUUGUGAUUCCAAAUACGUAUGUCUUCUACUCUUACAUAGCUCUUAGUAUUACAUUUGCUUGUUAAUAUAGACACUUUUUUGUGAUGGUGGUGAGAAAAAUACAUUUCCCAUUGGGUUUUAUUCUUUACAGUGAUAUGCCUUCAUCUUAUAAAGGAAAGUUUGGUGCAAUCACAUAUAGUUUGCGAGCACAGCUGACUCAAUCAAUCUGGCUUGUACAUAAAACCAAGACGGAGUUCCCUUUUCUGACCAAGGCAGAGUUUCCUUUUGCCUCCAAAUCAGAUAUCAUAAUAAUUGGACUUAAGGAGCAACAACAUGCAACCAAGAUUUCAUUUUAUGGAUCUGGAAAGGUUACCAUGAAUGUUACCUCAGAACAAAUGGGUUUGAAGCAAGGUGAAGCGAUUGGAGUUUCUGUGGAUGUGUUUAAUGACUCAGCACGCUCAGUAACACCCAAAUUAUACCUGUGUGAGAAGCAGACCUUUGUUGCUCGGUCCAAGAAGGUUGUACACACAAAUGACAUCUUGUUUGGCACAGGAGAGUCUGUUCCAGCUGAGAGCAGCCAGACUAUAACCAAAGUUCUGAGUAUCCCUCCUGAGAUGCACCCCACCUUCUUCAACUGCUGCAUGAUGAAGCUAGAGUACAGAAUUAAGAUCACUCUUGAUGUCCCUCUGGUGAAAAACCCAGAGAUCAAACUACCCCUGGUCAUCUUGCAGGGUUUGCUAAAACCUCAUCAGCAAAAACAGAAGAGAUCCAUCUGGUUUAAAAAGCUUCCUGGUUAAUGGCAAAGCAGGGAAUGGUUACAAAAACACUAUUUUUGUGUUACAAAAUUUCAAAUAAUUACACAAAUAUCAUUUUUUAUUGUAGCUGUAAACAUCAAAAUAUCAAGCGACUUUAAAGACUGUGUAUAGACAUGUCCACUAGAUGGAGAUGUCAGUAACAGUACAAUAAUUUAAGUGUAUUUAAAAGUCCUCUAAAAAUAUCCAGUUUCUUUCUUUCUUUCUUUCUUUCUGUUGUUUCAUGUCUAUUUAUACAACAGAGAAGACACAUUACUACAGGUAGAAAUCAUGCUUGUUUUAUUAAAAUGACUUUUGGUGGCUAAAUGAACUUAAAAGUACAAGAAGCCAGUGUAUCUUAGUUAAACUAAUAGAAGUGUGCUGUUAUGUCCCUAACUGUGUAAACCAGGAUUCCUCAUCUCCAUGAGAGCCACUGCCCUGCAGAUAUUUGUUGUUUCCCUUCAUUGACACACCUGAUUCAAAUGGAGCAGAGCUCCUCAACAGCUUGUUCUCAGGUUCUGCACAAGCCUGUUAAUGAGCCAUGACUUUGGGCCAGGUGAGUGCAAGCAGGGAAAUAGAUAUAACCUGCAGGACAUUGGCCCUGGAGGACCAGAGCUGAUGAGCCCUGGUGUAAUGUAAUAGCAUGUACAAAUAUAAAUUAAUAUGAGAAUCAAUAAAAAACACAGUAAAUUGUUUUUAAAGUUGGAAACAAAACAAAUAGUAGAGUAGACAUAUUUUACAUGGUUAUAUAUGGGUAAUGCAUGUGUAGAUGUCUAUAAAUGUAAAGACAGAGUGCAGGAUUUAUGUUGGUAACAUCUACAACAUAACUCUCCACCUACAAAUAAAUGUGGUAGAAUGCUAAGAUGGAGCUGGUUUUUUAUGUGUUUUACUCUAGUGCUCUAAAUACAAUAAGAUGAUUUAAUGUAAUGAAUGAGAUCCCUGAAUACAUUCACAGUGUCAUGAUGAAAUAUAUAAGAAUGAGAAAUUAAGCUUUCUUUACACAAAUCUGCCUUAAACAACUAAUUAAAUGAAACCAUGCAAACAAGUUUUAAAAAAAAUGUGCAUUUGAUCCUCAAUCUGUGAUUACUUAAUCCUUUAACAUUUAAGAUUUUUUCCUUAGUAAGAACAGUUAUGAACACUUCACAUUUAAGGCCAUUCGUCCUCUCACAGUAAAUCAUUUGAGGAGGAUCUGUACACAGCA